rnacentral:rRNA from 1 species
AUUCCAGCUCCAAUAGCGUAUAUUAAAGUUGUUGCAGUUAAAAAGCUCGUAGUUGGAUUUCUGGUUGAAGCGACCGGUCGGGCGUUGAUUCGUCUGCACUGGAGUCGGUUUUGGCCAUCCUCUAGGAAAGUGCGUCUGGUAUUAAGUUGUCGGGCGUAUGAUCCUGGUCUUUUACUGUGAAAAAAUUAGAGUGUUUAAAGCAGGCCUUCGCCUUGAAUACGUUAGCAUGGAAUAAUAAGAUAGGACUUUGGUCUAUUUUGUUGGUUUGCAGACCGAAGUAAUGAUUAAUAGGGAUAGUUGGGGGUAUUUAUAUUCCGAUGUCAGAGGUGAAGUUCUUAGAUUUUCGGAAGAUAAACUUAUGCGAAAGCAUUUACCAAGGAUGUUUUCAUCA